GGAUGACAAAUAAAAAAGAAAGAGGUUUGGACUCUAACCAGGCUUUAGAAUUACGGACACUUCGCCCGAAAGGAAGGAAAAUCGGAUUUAAGCGGACGCCUUGGAGUUUGCGGCUCCCCCCUAGGACGGAGGCGGCCCGGAGCCCCC